UAUUGCACAAUGGGAGGAACCCUGAUGCAGCGACGCCGCGUGAGUGAAGAAGUAUUUCGGGAUGUAAAGCUCUAUCAGCAGGGAAGAAAAUGACGGUACCUGAAUAAGAAGCCCCGGCUAACUACGUGCCAGCAGCCGCGGUAAUACGUAGGGGGCAAGCGUUAUCCGGAUUUACUGGGUGUAAAGGGAGCGUAGACGGUUAUGCAAGUCUGGAGUGAAAGCCCGGGGCUCAACCCCGGGACUGCUUUGGAAACUGUAAAACUGGAGUGCAGGAGAGGCAGGCGGAAUUCCUAGUGUAGCGGUGAAAUGCGUAGAUAUUAGGAGGAACACCAGUGGCGAAGGCAGCUCACUGGACUGUUGACUGACACUGAGGCUCGAAAGUGUGGGUAUCAAA
rnacentral:rRNA from 1 species